AUAGAGCUGCUCGGUUCGACAGGUUCAUGAAUCCCCGGACCACAAUUGAUAUCUCAUGGGGUUGUCCCUGCUUUGGCCGUGGUCAAAGUAUUACGACUCCAACCUGGUUAACAGGUCGCGAGAGGAUCAUAUAUACACCAUCGGCCAGAGUGGCUCUCUU
rnacentral:other from 1 species